UACAUGCAAGUCGAGCGAGAUGUUAGCGCAUGAACCUUCGGGGGAUUAUGCUAACGGACAGCGGCGGACGGGUGAGUAACGCGUAGGCAACCUGCCCCUGACAGAGGGAUAGCCAUUGGAAACGAUGAUUAAAACCUCAUGACACCGUAGAAGCACAUGCUUCAUCGGUCAAAGAUUUAUCGGUCAGGGAUGGGCCUGCGUCUGAUUAACUAGUUGGUGAGGUAACGGCUCACCAAGGUGACGAUCAGUAGCCGACCUGAGAGGGUGAUCGGCCACAUUGGAACUGAGACACGGUCCAAACUUCUACGGAAGGCAGCAGUAGGGAAUCUUGCACAAUGGGCGAAAGCCUGAUGCGGCAACGCCGCGUGAAGGAUGAAGGCCUUCGGGUUGUAAACUUCUGUUCUAAGGGAAGAAACAAAUGACGGUACCUUAGGAGCAAGCCCCGGCUAACUACGUGCCAGCAGCCGCGGUAAUACGUAGGGGGCAAGCGUUAUCCGGAAUUAUUGGGCGUAAAGAGUGCGUAGGUGGUUACCUAAGCGCAAGGUUUAAUUUAGAGGCUCAACCCGUACUUGCCUUGCGAACUGGGCUACUUGAGUGCAGGAGGGGAAAGCGGAAUUCUAGUGUAGCGGUGAAAUGCGUAGAUAUUAGGAGGAACACCAGCGGCGAAGGCGGCUUUCUGGACUGUAACUGACACUGAGGCACGAAAGCGUGGGUAGCAAACAGGAUUAGAUACCCUGGUAGUCCACGCCGUAAACGAUGAGCACUAGGUGUUGGGCCCGUUAGGGCUCAGUGCCGCAGUUACGCAAUAAGUGCUCCGCUGGGGAGUACGCUCGCAAGAGU
rnacentral:rRNA from 1 species